AAAGGAAUAGACGGGGACCCGCACAAGCGGUGGAGCAUGUGGUUUAAUUCGAAGCAACGCGAAGAACCUUACCAGGGUUUGACAUACCGGUGAAAGGCUAAGAGAUUAGUUGUUCCUUCGGGACACCGGAUACAGGUGGUGCAUGGUUGUCGUCAGCUCGUGUCGUGAGAUGUUGGGUUAAGUCCCGCAACGAGCGCAACCCUUAUCGCUAGUUGCCAGCAUUAAGUUGGGUACUUUAGCGAGACUGCCAGUGAUAAACUGGAGGAAGGCGGGGAUGAGGUCAAAUCAUCAUGCCCCUUAUACCCUGGGCUACACACGUGCUACAAUGGUCGGUACAAAGAGAAGCGAAACGGUGACGUCAAGCAAACCUCAUAAAGCCGAUCUCAGUUCGGAUUGUAGUCUGCAACUCGACUACAUGAAGAUGGAAUCGCUAGUAAUCGCGGAUCAGAAUGCCGCGGUGAAUACGUUCCCGGGUCUUGUACACACCGCCCGU
rnacentral:rRNA from 1 species